UACAGAGGGUGCAAGCGUUGUUCGGAAUUAUUGGGCGUAAAGGGCGCGUAGGCGGUUCCGUAAGUCAGAUGUGAAAACUCAGGGCUCAACCCGGAGACGCCAUCUGAUACUGCGGUGACUGGAGUCUGGUAGGGGAACACGGAAUUCCUGGUGUAGCGGUGAAAUGCGCAGAUAUCAGGAGGAACACCGGUGGCGAAGGCGGAUCUCUGGGCCGAUACUGACGCUGAGGAGCGAAAGCGUGGGGAGCGAACAGG
rnacentral:rRNA from 1 species